rnacentral:rRNA from 1 species
UACAGAGGGGGCAAGCGUUGUUCGGAAUUACUGGGCGUAAAGGGCGCGUAGGCGGCCCGCUAAGUCGAACGUGAAAUCCCCGAGCUCAACUCGGGAACUGCGUCCGAUACUGGCGGGCUUGAAUCCGGGAGAGGGAUGCGGAAUUCCAGGUGUAGCGGUGAAAUGCGUAGAUAUCUGGAGGAACACCGAUGGCGAAGGCAGGUCUCUGGGCUAUAACUGACGCUCAUGCACGAAAGCGUGGGGAGCAAACAGG